ACUAGUUCACAAUGUCUUGUAUCCCUAGCAACUAAUCAUGCAUUAUGUGACACCCGGGCACUGACGAAGGCGGGGAGUGAUCGCCGGUGCAAGAAGCAUGGUGCAGGGGGCACGGACAAGGAGCGGCUCCUGGCAGGCUUCGAGUGGAAGNGGCACAUGGACGAAUCGAACAUACACCGGAAUGAGAGGGAUCUGGAGAUUUUAUAGGUAUGGGACUAUACAGUUGAAGGAUAGCUUAAAGGAAUUGAUUUGACUACUCAUAUCAACAAAUGCAUUUGCUUUUCGGUAGCCUAACUCAUAAGAACUCCAUGGUUAAGUGUGCUUAGCCUAGAGUAAUUAUGGGAUGGGUGACCUUCCGGGAAGUUUUCUCGGAAAGUGUGUGAGUGAGGACAAAGCACACUAGAAAGCCUCGUGUUGAUGUGUGGGGGCAGUCAGCAGUCCCUGUAAGUUGUCGGGGCGUUACACAUUACAUUCGCAAAAAUCAAAGAUCAUGCAAUUGAAUGAGUUAAACAAAGCAUGCAUAGAGUUUAGAGAAAAAACCCUAACAAUUAAUGAAGUAAAGCAUAUAUAUCAAGAAUCAAUUCAAUACAUGAGAGUUUCAAAGGAUUACAUUGUUUUUCCAACAACAAUGUGUUGGCAAACAGGUAGA
rnacentral:lncRNA from 1 species